rnacentral:rRNA from 1 species
UACGUAGGGUGCGAGCGUUAAUCGGAAUUACUGGGCGUAAAGCGUGCGCAGGCGGCUUCUCAAGUCAGGGGUGAAAGCCCAGAGCUCAACUCUGGAAUUGCCUUUGAGACUGAGUGGCUUGAGUACGAGAGAGGUGAGUGGAAUUCCCAGUGUAGAGGUGAAAUUCGUAGAUAUUGGGAAGAACACCGGUGGCGAAGGCGGCUCACUGGCUCGUAACUGACGCUCAUGCACGACAGCGUGGGGAGCAAACAGG